AAAGGCUGAAAGACGACCACCACUGAACAAGACACACAAGCUGAAACGUCAAGACUGGGCCAAGAAAUAUCUCAAGAUUUCUCUAAUCUCUCAGAUUUUUCUAAGGUUUUAUGGACUGAUGAAAUGAGAGUGAGUCUUGAUGGGCCAGAUGGAUGGGCCCAUGGCUGGAUUGGUAAAGGGCAGAGAGCUCCAGUCCGACUCAGACGCCAGCAAGGUGGAGGUGGAGUACUGGUUUGGGCUGGUAU